UACGGAGGGGGCUAGCGUUGUUCGGAAUUACUGGGCGUAAAGAGUGUGUAGGCGGUGCUCUAAGUUCGGUGUGAAAUCUCCUGGCUUAACUGGGAGGGUGCGCCGGAAACUGGGGUGCUCGAGCGUGGGAGAGGAAAGCGGAAUUCCUGGUGUAGCGGUGAAAUGCGUAGAUAUCAGGAGGAACACCUGUGGUGUAGACAGCUUUCUGGACCAUUGCUGACGCUGAGACACGAAAGCGUGGGUAGCAAACAGG
rnacentral:rRNA from 1 species